UACGUAGGGGGCAAGCGUUGUCCGGAAUGACUGGGCGUAAAGGGAGUGUAGGCGGCCAAUCAAGUUACAUGUGAAAUCCCACGGCUUAACCGUGGAACUGCAUGUAAAACUGAAUGGCUGGAGUGCAGGAGAGGUAAGUGGAAUUCCUAGUGUAGCGGUGGAAUGCGUAGAUAUUAGGAGGAACACCAGUGGCGAAGGCGACUUACUGGACUGUAACUGACGCUGAGGCUCGAAAGCGUGGGUAGCAAACAGG
rnacentral:rRNA from 1 species